GACGUAGGGCGCGAGCGUUGUCCGGAUUUAUUGGGCGUAAAGAGCUCGUAGGCGGCUUGUCGCGUCGACCGUGAAAACUUGGGGCUCAACCCCAAGCCUGCGGUCGAUACGGGCAGGCUAGAGUUCGGUAGGGGAGACUGGAAUUCCUGGUGUAGCGGUGAAAUGCGCAGAUAUCAGGAGGAACACCGGUGGCGAAGGCGGGUCUCUGGGCCGUAACUGACGCUGAGGAGCGAAAGCGUGGGGAGCGAACAGG
rnacentral:rRNA from 1 species